rnacentral:rRNA from 1 species
AGUGAACGCUGGCGGCAGGCCUAAUACAUGCAAGUCGAACGGCAGCACAGCAGAGCUUGCUCUGUGGGUGGCGAGUGGCGGACGGGUGAGGAAUACAUGGGAAUCUGCCCAGUCGUGGGGGAUAACGUAUGGAAACGUACGCUAAUACCGCAUGCGCCCUACGGGGGAAAGUCGGGGACCGCAAGGCCUGGCGCGAUUGGAUGAGCCCAUGUUCGAUUAGCUAGUUGGCGGGGUAAAGGCCCACCAAGGCGACGAUCGAUAGCUGGUCUGAGAGGAUGAUCAGCCACACUGGAACUGAGACACGGUCCAGACUCCUACGGGAGGCAGCAGUAGGGAAUAUUGGACAAUGGGGGCAACCCUGAUCCAGCCAUGCCGCGUGAGUGAAGAAGGCCCUCGGGUUGUAAAGCUCUUUUGUCCGGAAAGAAAGCAAUCGGUUAAUACCCGGUUGUUCUGACGGUACCGGAAGAAUAAGCACCGGCUA